rnacentral:rRNA from 1 species
GAUGAACGCUGGCGGCGUGCCUAAUACAUGCAAGUCGAGCGAAAAGACGAGGAGUUUGUUCCUUUGACGUUAACGGCAGACGGGUGUAUAACGCGAGGAUAACCUACCUAUAAGACUGGGAAAACUUCGGAAAACGGGAGCUAAUCCCAGAUAAUAUCUUGAACCGCAUGGUUGGAUAGUGAAAGACGGUUUUGCUGUCACUUAUAGCUGGAUCCGCGCCGCAUUGGCUAGUUGGUAAGGUAAAGGGGUAUCAAGGCAACCAGUCGUAGCCGACGGGAGAGAGGGAUCGCCCACACGGGAACGGGGACGCGGACCAUACUACUACGGGAGGCAGCAGAAUGGAAUCUUCCGCAAUGGGCGAAAACCUGACGGAGCAAGGAGACGUGAGAGAUGACGGUCUCGGGAGCGUAAAACUCUGUUAUUAGGGAAAAACAAAUUUGUAAGGAACUGUACAGGGCUUGACGGUAACUAAUCAGAAAGCCACGGCUAACUACGUG